rnacentral:rRNA from 1 species
UACGAAGGGUGCAAGCGUUGCUCGGAAUUAUUGGGCGUAAAGGGUAGGUAGGUGGUGAUGUAUGUCUGGAGUGAAAUCCCUGGGCUUAACCCAGGACGUGCUUUGGAAACGGCAACACUAGAGUACUGGAGAGGUUCGCAGAAUUCCCGGUGUAGCGGUGAAAUGCGUAGAGAUCGGGAGGAAUACCAGAGGCGAAGGCGGCGAACUGGACAGUGACUGACACUCAACUACGAAAGCGUGGGUAGCAAACAGG